rnacentral:rRNA from 1 species
UACGUAGGGUGCGAGCGUUGUCCGGAAUUACUGGGCGUAAAGAGCUCGUAGGUGGUUUGUCGCGUUGUCCGUGAAAACUCACAACUCAAUUGUGGGCGUGCGGGCGAUACGGGCAGACUGGAGUACUGCAGGGGAGACUGGAAUUCCUGGUGUAGCGGUGGAAUGCGCAGAUAUCGGGAGGAACACCGGUGGCGAAGGCGGUUCUCUGGGCCUGUUCUGACGCUGAGGCGCGAAAGCUAGGGGAGCGAACAGG